GUGGGGAAUAUUGGACAAUGGGCGAAAGCCUGAUCCAGCCAUGCCGCGUGUGUGAAGAAGGUCUUCGGAUUGUAAAGCACUUUAAGUUGGGAGGAAGGGUAGUAACCUAAUACGUUGCUACUUUGACGUUACCGACAGAAUAAGCACCGGCUAACUUCGUGCCAGCAGCCGCGGUAAUACGAAGGGUGCAAGCGUUAAUCGGAAUUACUGGGCGUAAAGCGCGCGUAGGUGGUUCAGUAAGUUGGAAGUGAAAUCCCCGGGCUCAACCUGGGAACUGCUUUCAAAACUGUUGAGCUAGAGUACGGUAGAGGGUGGUGGAAUUUCCUGUGUAGCGGUGAAAUGCGUAGAUAUAGGAAGGAACACCAGUGGCGAAGGCGACCACCUGGACUGAUACUGACACUGAGGUGCGAAAGCGUGGGGAGCAAACAGGAUUAGAAACCCCAGUAGUCC
rnacentral:rRNA from 1 species